UCUAUCACUCAUUACUCCGAAUUAGGUUAGGUUUGAUUAGAUGUUGGAAUCUUAACCUAACAAAUGUUUUGUAAUCGGUUGAGAUACCGUUGAAUCUGAUUUAAAUACACGUGAUUGCUAUGAAUUAGAAAAGAAUUCAUUAAGUUAAAUUUGACAAGAGAUAUAUCGUAUAAACGUAAAUUAAUGCGUUUAUAUAUAAUAUUUUUUUUGAAUAAUGAGAUUCAGUAAUAAAAAUUUGCUCAGAACGUUCGUUCUAAAAAAGAAUGAGUUUCGCAAAAUUCUCAUGACAAACCUAGGUUUAACUUCGAUCGAUGUGGAUAAAUUUCUUGAUAUUAAGAAAACUGCCCUUAAUCUUCCCACUUAUCGAAUAAUGAACAAUUGUUUAAUAUGUCAGAAAUAUAAUGUCAAUGUGGAUUCUUUAGAGAAGCUUCACUAUUGUCUGAAAUUGCAUGAUUAUACAUUAGAGCAUAGAAUUAAAGUGCUCAAGGAAAUAGGAGUGCCUGUUAUAAAACUGUCUCUAGUGAACAAUAUACUCUAUCAUUUUCACAAAACAGUAUCAAAGUUUAAAGAGAAGGCUAAUAUUCCAGCUGAGCAAAAUAUUGCUGCAAAUAUAUUCGGUGGUGAAAUUCCCGAGAAUCUCAUUCAUUUGAAGAAAUUGAAUGAUAAUUUAACAGUCCUGGAAUAUUAUCAGACAUGUCUCUUGCAUUGCAAAAAUCGGAUAUUCAACGUACCAUAUUUAGAUGAUAAAAUAUUAUUGCAAAAACAUUUGAAAAUAAAAAGUAUAAGCAUGGUUGCAGAAACGUUGAAAGUACUCAGGAAUGAUCUUAAAUAUGACGACGAAAUGAUAAAAAAGAAUUCUUCAGUCAUUGUCGCUUCUCCUGAUAACAUCAGGACACUGUUGAAUAGUUUUACAGAAAUUUUAGGAAUGCCAAUUGUACCGUUUUUGAAAAAAUACCCCUACAUACUUCUUCAAGACGCGGGUAAUACUAAACGAUUAUUAAUGUCGUUCAAACAAUACGAAAUACCGGAUAAAUACGUAAAGAAUUACAUGAAAAUUUUCCUGAUAAGUAACGAAGCUUUCCAUGAGCGAAUCGAAUUAAUAAAACGCCAUCCGAAUCUGAACAUGUGGUAUAAGCAUCGGCGUAUGCUGCAAAUUAUAUGUCAGAUAAAGAAGAUAAAAUAUCGCAUGGAAUACGUUGACAUCAUGGAUUCUUUAAAAUGGCUCAAUCCACAAUCACUCUUGGCUUCGAAACCAGAAGUAGAGAAAUCUGUGCAAACCGGCAUAGUUUCAGCUAAACAUAACAUAAAACACAUUUUGAUGAAGGAAUUGGGAAUGGACUUGAGCGAUUUGCUAAUGAGACAUCAACAUUGGAAAACGGUUGCGUUUGUUGACAUCGUGAAAAUGUUAAAAUAUCUAAAAAAGCAUUUUAAGAUAAAUGAGAUAUGUCCAAACAUACACAUCAUACUUUAUGACCAAUUAAAAGUGGAAAAACUACUGGCUGAUUUGAAAAAACAACAUUCUCAAAGUACAAAGUACUCGUUUACUAAUAGCCAAUAUCUCGCCUUGUGUCUGUAUAUGCUGGAGAAAGAUAAUUAUUUCACAGGCGAUGGUAUUUGGAGCAACGAACAAAAUGCGAUGCAACAAUCUUCAGAAGAACGAAACAUCGCCGAAAAGUCUUACAAUAAUAUGAAUAUUUUGAAAGAUACCAAUGAUUAUUUAAAUCUGGAAAAUAGUAUUAAUAUUGAUGUUGAUAACUUUAAGGAUGUAACAUUCAGUAAUAAUAUACAGAAUAGAAAUAGUUGAAACAACAAUAUACAUAAUGUACAUAAACAUUUUUACUUGUACAGAAUAUCUUACAGUGAUUCAUGUUACAGAGAACAAAGAUUGCAUAUUUAUAACAUAUGUAACGUAUGUAAAAAUGGCGCAAAAAAAUACAGUAAUUCGCCCCAAACAAGGCUACAAAAUGAAAAAUCAAUGCGAGAAAUAUUUAUAUGUUAAAUCGAAAUCAAAUGGAAUAUUGCGAGAUACACAAAGCGGGAUUAUUUGGAUUAAGAUUUAUUCUUUUCUAAUACAAGAAAAAGGCACUGCACGUAAGGCAUUAAUUAUUUAAGGCAUAGAAAGUUGUCUCGAAGUGUAUUACAAAUCUAGUAGUACAUUUGGUUUAUGCUCGCCCUCUUUCUGUCUCAUUAGCUGAAUCAGAUUCAGAAAAAAAUUUUUUUUAAAUUUUUUAAAGAUAAUUAUUAAUAAUAUAAAUGAGUAUAACGUUAUAAAAGUAUUUCCAUUACCAAAAUAUCCUUUUAUCUUUAUCCACAGGAAGUUUUUUGAAUGGGAAAUCACCGUGAGAUGCCGCUCCAAGUGAGUUAAUUUUUUAUUUAAAUUUUCAUUUUCUAGGCAAAUCUGUUUGCGGCCAUACAUUAAUCGCGCGAGAGAUGAAGUUAUUAGAGCAGCGAAAAUAGAACUCUUAUAUAUAAAUAUGUAUAUAUAUAUAUCCCUUUUGUUAAAUAAAAUAUUUUAUAUCCUU